GAUGAACGCUAGCUACAGGCUUAACACAUGCAAGUCGAGGGGAAACGAUAUUGGAAGCUUGCUUCCGAUAGGCGUCGACCGGCGCACGGGUGAGUAACGCGUAUCCAACCUGCCCAUCACUUGGGGAUAACCUUGCGAAAGUAAGACUAAUACCCAAUGACGUCUCUAGAAGACAUCUGAAAGAGAUUAAAGAUUUAUCGGUGAUGGAUGGGGAUGCGUCCCAUUAGCUUGUUGGCGGGGUAACGGCCCACCAAGGCGACGAUGGGUAGGGGUUCUGAGAGGAAGGUCCCCCACAUUGGAACUGAGACACGGUCCAAACUCCUACGGGAGGCAGCAGUGAGGAAUAUUGGUCAAUGGACGAGAGUCUGAACCAGCCAAGUAGCGUGCAGGAUGACGGCCCUAUGGGUUGUAAACUGCUUUUAUAAGGGAAUAAAGUGAGUCUCGUGAGACUUUUUGCAUGUACCUUAUGAAUAAGGACCGGCUAAUUCCGUG
rnacentral:rRNA from 1 species